UGAAAAUUCAACAAUUUUCACACAAAUCCAUAAGCAAUUGGACUCUAAAAUAUAUUAGAAUCAUAAAACCCAUACUUAACCAAACAAGAACACUCACAACCGAAAGUAUAACCAAACGAAUUGAGUAGAAUUAGGGAUUUAUGCAAAUAAAUUAAAAUUAGGAAAAUCACAAAUAAUGAAAGAAAUAGAUAGUGAGAACAAGAUGUCGAAGAGAGAGGGAGAGAUACGGGGAGACGACCGGGUCGGACCCGUCGGC
rnacentral:lncRNA from 1 species